GUUUCCCACGGCAGAAAUUAAUUUUAAUACAUAAAACACAACAUGCUGGAAUAAACUUACCCUCAUAAAAAACAGAAAUAACUAGGUAGAGCCUCCACAUCAAGCAUCUACUUCAGCUUUUAUUUCUCUCAUAAGAUCUUCUUUGUAGUCCUCAAAAGAGCCAUCAAACUUCUCUACUGUUCCGUUCUCCACAACCCAUAUCUCACUUUUCUCUUCAUCUUCGCAUACCCUCGAUAUCAACCGGGAGUCGUGGCUCACCAAGACGAC
rnacentral:misc_RNA from 1 species